rnacentral:rRNA from 1 species
GAUGAACGCUAGCUACAGGCUUAACACAUGCAAGUCGAGGGGAAACGAUAGGGAAAGCUUGCUUUUUCUAGGCGUCGACCGGCGCACGGGUGAGUAACGCGUAUCCAACCUGCCCACCACUUGGGAAUAACCUUGCGAAAGUAAGACUAAUACCCAAUGAUAUCUCUAGAAGACAGCUGAAGGAGCUUAAAGAUUUAUGGGUGAUGGAUGGGGAUGCGUGUGAUUAGCUUGUUGGCGGGGUACGGGCCCACCAAGGCGACGAUCAGUAGGGGUUCUGAGAGGAAGGUCCCCCACAUUGGAACUGAGACACGGUCCAAACUCCUACGGGAGGCAGCAGUGAGGAAUAUUGGUCAAUGGGCGAGAGCCUGAACCAGCCAAGUAGCGUGCAGGAUGACGGCCCUAUGGGUUGUAAACUGCUUUUAUAAGGGAAUAAAGUGAGCCUCGUGAGGCUUUUUGCAUGUACCUUAUGAAUAAGGACCGGCUAAUUCCGUGCCAGCAGCCGCCGUAA